UUUAGCAUUGUUUUGUAUUUCUUACUAUAUAGAAUGUAUCUUUACCUCAUACUAAUUUUAUUCUUGCUGGUUUUACACCAAGGCCAGGGAAAGCAAAAUCAGUGUAGUGUUGGAUUUAUUUGGCAUACAAAGGCUAAGAAGUGCAUUUCACGAAGUUCGCCAGAGAAAAACUGUGGAAGCUCUGUUCAAUCAUCGGAUAAUAAGCAUAACAUUAACAGAAAGUUAAUUUGCCCACAAAGUUAUCGUUGGAUCAAAAAAUAUAAAAUAUGUGCAACAUCGACUACCAAUAAAAUUUAAAAGACGGGACUUAAAAAUUCUCAGAGGUGGCAAAACGAAAAAAAAACAAUGGACAAAGAAGAAAAAACAAUCACAAACACAAUAAAACGAUGAAGAAUAAUAAAAUAUAUGUUUCCUUUGGGAUAAAUCUACGAUAAAGCAAUAAUAAUAAUGAACAGAUGAUGGGAAAUCAAAUGGCACAACAAAAAAAAAACAAAGAAAUAUGUAUCCAUGAAACUAUUGAAUUAAAAAGCGCGGGAUAUCUUA